UACGUAGGGUGCAGGCGUUAAUCGGAAUACUGGGCGUAAAGCGUGCGCAGGCGGUUUGCUAAGACAGGUGUGAAAUCCCCCGGGCUUAACCUGGGAACUGCGCUUGUUACUGGCAGGCUUGAGUGUGGCAGAGGGGGGGUGGAAUUCCGCGUGUAGCAGUGAAAUGCGUAGAGAUGUGGAGGAACACCGAUGGCGAAGGCAGCCCCCUGGGCUAACACUGACGCUCAUGCACGAAAGCGUGGGGAGCAAACAGG
rnacentral:rRNA from 1 species